CGACCAUGAACGAACGACCUUGUCGCCGGACGAUGAUGUUUGGGAUUCCUACCAUGAACGUCGACCAUCUAGCUGAGAACAAAAUCAUAAGCAGUCAAAGGUGAGAGAG